GUCUCUGUAGUGCAAUGGAUAACGCAUUGGACUUCCGAUCCAAAGGCCGUGGGUUCGAAUCCCACCUAGGAUG